AUUGAACGCUGGCGGCAGGCCUAACACAUGCAAGUCGAGCGGAGCGGCGGACGGGCGAGGAAUGCAUAGGAUUCUGAAUGGUAGUGGGGGAUAACGUCCAGAAACGGGCCCUAAUAGCGCAUACUAUCAGAAUAGCUUUGGUCGGUGUAGCGAGUUGGUGGGGUAAAGGCCUACUAAGGCGACGUCCCGUAACUGGUCUGAGGGGAUGAGCAGUCAAACUGGAACUGAGACACGGUCCAGACGCCAACGGGAGGCAGCAGUGGGGAAUAUUGGACAAUGGGCGAAAGCCUGAUCCCGCCAUGCCGCGUGUGUGAAGAAGGUCUUCGGGUUGUAAAGCACUUUAAGGUAGGAGGCGUUACCAGCAGAAUAAGCACCGGCUAACAUCGUGCCAGCAGCCGCGGUAAUUC
rnacentral:rRNA from 1 species